AUUGGUCAUCUGGCAUGAUUCAAAAUGCCUCAGUCUGAAUGUUUACAUGUAGUCCAUUGCAAAGUGGAUAGAAAGGAAGUCUUGCUGAUGCUACAUGUG
rnacentral:miRNA from 1 species